rnacentral:rRNA from 1 species
CAAUAGCGUAUAUUUAAGUUGUUGCAGUUAAAAAGCUAGUAGUUGGAUUUUGGGUCGGGGGCACCGGUCCGCCGUUCCGGUGUGCACUGGUGGCCCCUUCCUUUCUGCCGGGGACGUGCGUCGCACUUAAUUGGGUGGCGUUCGGAGUCGGCGUUGUUACUUUGAAAAAAUUAGAGUGUUCAAAGCAAGCCAUCGCUCUGAAUACAUUAGCAUGGAAUAACAUGAUAGGACUCCGGUCUUAUUUUGUUGGUUUCCGAGACUGGAGUAAUGAUUAAGAGGGACAGUCGGGGGCAUCCGUAUUUCAUUGUCAGAGGUGAAAUUCUUGGAUUUAUGAAAGACGAACUUCUGCGAAAGCAUUUGCCAAGGAUGUUUUCAUUAA